rnacentral:RNase_P_RNA from 1 species
UCAGUCGGCUGGACGGCCGCUCCCGCUACGGUCGAAAGGCUGCGGGAGAGGAAAGUCCGGGCUCCAUCGACAUACGGUGCCGGAUAACGUCCGGCGGGGGUGACCCCAGGGAAAGUGCCACAGAGAACGAACCGCCUCGCCUCCCUCCGCAAGGAGCUGGCGCGGUAAGGGUGAAAAGGUGCGGUAAGAGCGCACCGCGUAUCCGGCAACGGAAACGGCAUGGCAAACCACACCGGGAGCAAAACCGAAUAGGGACGGCAACGCAGUUAGUUCGCUCUCGAGCGAUAACACUGCAGGGUGAUGUCUCGCUCGCUGUCCGGGUAGGUUGCUUGAGGCCAUAGGCAACUAUGGCCCCAGAGGAAUGGCCGUCACGUAUCGCCGGUGCAAAUCGGCGAUGCCCUACAGAACCCGGCUUACAGGCCGGCUGAUAUC